rnacentral:lncRNA from 1 species
GCGGUGGAGAUGGGGAGGGUCUGGGGGCCGCUGGGCGGGUGGUGGGGGUACCGUCAGCCCGGCUGCAGGGUUCCAGCAGAGGACAGGGAGCCUUCUCCAUCCCUGAAAACCAUCGCGGGGACAGUGGACUCAUCACGAUGCCGGGACCCUCAAGUGUGUUCUGGAAGCAGAGGCUGGGUGUGGGCACGGGAACCUGUGAUUGUCCCCAGACACCGAGAGGCCCACAGGACCCCCAGUGCCCAGACCCCGGCUGCAGAUCGGGGGGUCCAGUCGUGUGUCAGGGAAGGAGGAGAGGAGCAGGGGCCACAGACAGGGGGUCCAGGAGGGCAGGGGGUCCACGAGGGCAGAGGACCCAGGAGGGCAGGGGGUCCAGGAGGGCAGAGCCACAGCAGGAUGGGUGCUGCUGCUACAGGGGGCUUCACCCCAGCAGCCCCCUGCACUGCCCCUCUGACAGCCUCCACCUUCGACCCCCCCAGACCAACGGGCUGCUGUGGUGGCUCUGGAGGCUGCGGCCCCAGUCAUGGGGCCUGCGGCUGCCAUGGGCUGAGACCCUGCUGCUCUUCGUGGAGACACUGAUGUCCUUCCCAGAUCUCCCGGGCCCGCCCUCAGCCUCCAGGCUGACCAGGCUUCCUGGGCCUCCUAGGACACAGCCCUGGGUUUCCUCCUCCAGGAUACUGGAUGGGAAUCUGCGGUUUCCAACAUCCACCUGCCCGCCUUCCCCUCUGCCCUGUCCCCUUGCUGCCAUGGCCGCCUUUGUCCUCCCUGGAGAUGCAGAGAGCAGCCCCGUUCUCAGUUACCUGGCCUUCUGGGUCCUUGGGGGGUUCUGACCUCUUCCCAGCAGGGGCCCUGGGGGCUGCGUCCUGCCUGGUCCAUGCCUUCUCACCCUCACCUCCCUCUGGGCUCAGGGAGCUGGGGCCACACAGCCCAGAGAGGCUGGUCUGCCCGGGACAGGCCACCCUCCUCCUGCUCCCAGGAGUGCCUGCAGCCCUGUCAGUUUCCAAGAGUGUCUCCUUCAAGCAGCCUUGUCAGGCCAAGCCACCCCCAGUGCCCUCUCCUCCGGCAGCCGUGCUCCCUGCCCUUCCUCCCCACCUGCUCAGUCCUGCAAAGCCUCCUGCCAAGCCUGACACCUGGGGGUUCUGUCUCCCACACUCCAGGGGCCUUCUCCACAUGUCAGUGACCUCUGACCGCUGUUUCAGACCCACAGCUCCUGGGUGCACUCAGCAUCGGGUCCCGAUGGCACCAGAGUGUUCCAGGCCUGGGGCAGCGCACUCACUGCAGACCUGGCCUGAGACUCAGCAGCCGGGCACCCCAUGAGAUCUAGUUUCUGAAUGGCAUCGUCACCUGACUGGGCAUACAGGCCACGGACCCCGUGGUCAUUUGGGCACUGACCCCUCUCACACCCCCCAAAUCCCACCUGAGAGCAGCCCAUCAGGCAGGCCCUUUAUAUUGGAUGCCUCUAAGUAUCAGCCUUGAUGUCCCUCUAAUUCCAGCCCUGGUGUCUUCUCCCUGGGACACCCUGCUGCUCCCUCUAGCUGUGCCCUCCACGGUGACUCCAGACAUGCACAUUCAGCCUCUUCCCUCCAGGACCAAACUCCUCAGCAGCUCCCACUACUCCCAGCAUGCCAUCUACCUCCUCAGCCCAGCAGCAAAGACAGGCACAGAAUGGUUCCCGAACCCAUCACUCCCGUCCGGAGAAGGAGCCCUCCACCCUCCACGCUCCAUUCGCUGUCCCCUCACCGGCCCCUGUGAGGAACCCCAGCCAGAGACACCAAUGGCCGCCACUGACUUUCACCCUGUCCUGAAUCACAGGACCAAGGAGGUUGCCCUGACAAGGGUCACUUCCAGACUCACUCCCUGUCAGCCACUGCCACAUGCCUGCCGUGGGCAGCAUUGGAGGACUAGGGGUACUCUGUCAGUCAGCCUAACAGGCUGGUCCGUCCUUCCUUCCUUCCUUCCUUCCUUCUUCCCUCCCUCCAUCCCUCCCUCCCUCCGUUCCUUCCUUCCUCCUUCCUCCCGAAUNNNNNNNNNNUGAGAUGGUGGCGCCUCCAUCACAGACCCACAGACUCUGUGUCCAGCCCUUCCGGAAAGGUGACAGAAAUCAAAAUUCCGCCUUAUGGAAGACAAGGCACCGACGCUUUCCCUGAUGGCAUCAUCAUCACGCAACUAGGACAGCUGACCCGCGUCUUCCUCACGACGUGGAAUGGUUUGAGUCAAGGGUUUUCCUGGCCAUGAGCCACGUGGAGGCUGUGCCUUUUGUUUCCUGUGAGAAAUCUUCAACCAGCGCCACUCUCAGCCUCCCCUCUGCCAGUGCUUCUGUGGCUGCACCUGCAUUCGUGGGCUGUGGCUGCAAAGCACAGGAAUAACUGAUGGCUCGUUGGGCACUUUGCUGGGCUGCUUCCAGAAAAGUUGACCCCUCCCUGCAAACCAGCACUGCCCAGCAUUCUUGUCCCGCCAAGCCUGACUGCGAGCUGUUGUGGCAUUGCCACUUUGCUCGGAAAGGGCUGCUUAUCUUUUAUUUCCCUUGCAUUUCUUUCAAUUCUACCAUUGACCUUUUCUCACACGUGUGGUCAUCAUUGUAUUUCCGCCCCCAUUUUGUGAGGUUUAGUGUAUUCUUAAAGUUUCCUGGGUUUUGAUGAGAGCAUAUUCUGUCAUUAUAUUUAACAGGUGUUUUCCCCAGCUUGGAUGUGUUUGGCCAUUAGCUUCUUUUCUGCUAUUUUACACUAGUCUGUUAUUCUUCACUACAAAAGGACUCUGCCGAGGGUCCCCAUGCUCCCCAUGCUUUGGGCUGUGAGGUAGCAGGGGAAGGCAGGUGUCCUUCCUUCUUUGAAGUGCGGGUUGGGGCAGGACGGCAGACCCUGGG